rnacentral:lncRNA from 1 species
CUGAAUGCCUGCGRACUGAGGGGAGCUGAAGCUGCUUUUCUCCCGUUCCCUGUGCCUUUUUAAGGAAAGUCACCAUAUCAGCACAAAUCUGAACAUGUGCUGAAACACUCUCCCAAACUGGAGCUGAAAUCAGUGACCCUGCAGUUUUCCUGUGCUUUGGACACUCACUGCCAUCCUAUUGGAGCAUGCCAUCCUAA